GGGGCUGUAAGGAAUUCGACGGGAGGUGAUAGGUCCGGAGUGCAAGCCGAGGUGCCGUGAGCCUCGUUAAACUUUGCGGCAAAAAUCAAAUGCUGAAACAUUUGAGAGUUUGGUAGCGAGAGUUGACUGGACUUUUCUUAAUGUAAAAGCGCCAGUUGCUCAAGUUGCCUAAUUGAUUCUCCUAAGUAUUGAGAAUCACGUCUCUUAGGUUUUCCGAUAGGCCUAAGUAAAGGCGUCAUAAUAUCGGAUACUCUUUUGCUCUUUUCCUUUCAGGGCGGAAGAGGAAACUAAAUGAAAGGAUAGCCUUGUAAAUGGCCUUGCCCUUGGCUUUAUUUACAGGCGAAACUUCAAUAAAGGGCUAAGCUUGUAGAUCUUCGGAUGUUGAGCCUUUCGGACGCGGGUUUAACUCCCGCCAGCUCCACCA
rnacentral:tmRNA from 1 species